AUCAGCAUGCCGCGGUGAAUACGUUCCCGGGCCUUGUACACACCGCCCGUCACACCAUGAGAGUCGGGAACACCCGAAGUCCGUAGUCUAACCGCAAGGAGGGCGCGGCCGAAGGUGGGUUCGAUAAUUGGGGUGAAGUCGUAACAAGGUACC
rnacentral:rRNA from 1 species